rnacentral:rRNA from 1 species
CCUACGGGGGACAGCAGUGGGGAAUAUUGGGCAAUUGGCGCAAGCCUGACCCAGCAACGCCGCGUGAAGGAAGAAGGCUUUCGGGUUGUAAACUUCUUUUAAGGGGGAAGAGCAGAAGACGGUACCCCUUGAAUAAGCCACGGCUAACUACGUGCCAGCAGCCGCGGUAAUACGUAGGUGGCAAGCGUUGUCCGGAUUUACUGGGUGUAAAGGGCGUGCAGCCGGAGAGACAAGUCAGAUGUGAAAUCCACGGGCUCAACCCGUGAACUGCAUUUGAAACUGUUUCCCUUGAGUGUCGGAGAGGUAAUCGGAAUUCCUUGUGUAGCGGUGAAAUGCGUAGAUAUAAGGAAGAACACCAGUGGCGAAGGCGGAUUACUGGACGAUAACUGACGGUGAGGCGCGAAAGCGUGGGGAGCAAACAGGAUUAGAUACCCUUGUAGUC